rnacentral:sRNA from 1 species
UUUUUUCCUUCUUCUUGGUUUCU